GGCAUUGUGGCUCAGUGGCAGAGCACUUGCCUAGCAUGUGUGAGGUUCUGGGUUCGAUCCUCAGCACCA
rnacentral:tRNA from 1 species